AGCAGACAGAGCGCCCCCCUCCCUGCGGUCGGGGGGAAAGCUCAGAGACGAAAGAAGCUGGCUGGACGUCCACGCUGACCAGGAGUACGUCCUGCAGGUCUCACUGCAGAGCAUCAACACCGGCCAGCAGAGGAGGAGGCAGGACAGUAAGACCCAGGCCCCCAGGUUCCCCAAGAAUAAGGAUGAGGGCUGGUUUCUGGUUCUAGGAGAGGUGGAGCGCAGAGAGCUACUGGCCGUCAAACGCAUCGGAUACUGCCGACACCGCAGCCUUGCCUUCUAAACCCCUGAGAAGCCUGGAAAGUGUAUCUACACGCUAUACUUGAUGAGUGACAGUUACCUGGGUCUGGACCAGCAGUAUGACCUCCACCUCAACAUGACCCCUGCCUGCAUCGCAGCCCUGGUCAACAGUGAAGUCACUGAGGCCAUGGGAGGAAUGUCCGUCAAGUGAUACGUCAACAUGAUGACAUCAUCAUGAGUGACAUGGUGACAAUGACAAUCUAAAAAUGACAAGAGACAAUGGCCAUGUGUCUUUAGAGGCCAAUGUUUGGGAUAUUUACCCUGAUGAUGUGAUGGUGGUAAUUGUGUGACUGGGUGUUAGCCUUAAAGCAGGGAUGUCAAGCUCAUUCCAUGGAGA